CGCCUUAACAUCACAGGUCCCUUGGUGGCUGUAUCCAUCAAUGCCACUUCACAGGAUACCCAUUGAGGCCAGAA
rnacentral:snoRNA from 1 species